CUGGCGGUAUGUAUAAUACAUGCAAGUCGAACGCUCCGAUUUAUCGGAGAGUGGCGAACGGGUGAGUAAUACGUUGGAACCUGCCCCGAACUCAGGGAUAACAUCUAGAAAUAGAUGCUAAUACCGGAUAGUCCCGAAAGGGUAAAGAUUUUUCGGUUUCGGGAGCGGGCCUGCGGCCUAUCAGCUUGUUGGUGAGGUAAUGGCUUACCAAGGCUAUGACGGGUAACUGGUCUGAGAGGAUGACCAGUCACAAUGGGACUGAGACACGGCCCAUACUCC
rnacentral:rRNA from 1 species